GGGUGAGUAACGCGUAUGCGACCUGCCCGUUGCAGGGGGAUAAUCGGGAGAAAUCCCGUCUAAUACCGCGUAACGCCGCGGGGCUGCAUGGCCCUGCGGCCAAAGGGAGCGAUUCCGGCAACGGAUGGGCAUGCGUGACAUUAGCUAGUUGGCGGGGCAACGGCCCACCAAGGCGACGAUGUCUAGGGGUUCUGAGAGGAAGGUCCCCCACACUGGUACUGAGACACGGACCAGACUCCUACGGGAGGCAGCAGUGAGGAAUAUUGGUCAAUGGGCGCGAGCCUGAACCAGCCAAGUCGCGUGAGGGAUGACGGCCCUACGGGUUGUAAACCUCUUUUGUCGGGGAGCAAAUUCCGCCACGUGUGGCGGAGUCGAGAGUACCCGAAGAAAAAGCAUCGGCUAACUCCGUGCCAGCAGCCGCGGUAAUACGGAGGAUGCGAGCGUUAUCCGGAUUUAUUGGGUUUAAAGGGUGCGUAGGCGGACUGUCAAGUCAGCGGUAAAAUACGGGGGCUCAACCUCCGCCCGCCGUUGAAACUGACGGUCUUGAGUGGGCGAGAAGUAUGCGGAAUGCGUGGUGUAGCGGUGAAAUGCAUAGAUAUCACGCAGAACUCCGAUUGCGAAGGCAGCAUACCGGCGCCCAACUGACGCUGAAGCACGAAAGCGUGGGUAUCGAACAGGAUUAGAUACCCUGGUAGUCCACGCAGUAAACGAU
rnacentral:rRNA from 1 species